AACAAACGCUGGCGGCGUGCCUAACACAUGCAAGUCGUACGAGAAAGGGUCCUUCGGGGCCUGAGUAAAGUGGCGCACGGGUGAGUAACGCGUGGAUAAUCUGCCCUUCAGUUGGGAAUAACUCAUCGAAAGGUGGGCUAAUACCGAAUAAUGCUGUGAGACCUCGGUUGAUCAGCCAAAGAGAGCCUCUGCUUGCAAGCCCUCGCUGAAGGAUGAGUCCGCGUACCAUUAGCUAGUUGGUAGGGUAAUGGCCUACCAAGGCGACGAUGGUUAGCUGGUCUGAGAGGAUGAACAGCCACACUGGAACUGAGACACGGUCCAGACUCCUACGGGAGGCAGCAGUGAGGAAUCUUGCGCAAUGGGGGCAACCCUGACGCAGCAACGCCGCGUGAGUGAGGAAGGUCUUCGGAUCGUAAAGCUCUGUCGGAUGGAAAGAACCGCAUAGGGGUAAACAGCCCCCGUGUCUGACGGUACCAUCAAAGGAAGCACCGGCUAACUCCGUGCCAGCCGCCGCCGUAAGAC
rnacentral:rRNA from 1 species